rnacentral:rRNA from 1 species
UACGUAGGCAGCGAGCGUUGUUCGGAAUUACUGGGCGUAAAGAGUGUGUAGGCGGUGUUCCCAGUCUGUUGUGAAAUCUCCCGGCUUAACUGGGAGGGUGCAGCGGAAACUAGAAUGCUAGAGGGUGGGAGAGGUAAGCGGAAUUCCUGGUGUAGCGGUGAAAUGCGUAGAUAUCAGGAGGAACACCUGUGGUGUAGACAGCUUACUGGACCACUUCUGACGCUGAGACGCGAAAGCGUGGGGAGCAAACAGG